rnacentral:misc_RNA from 1 species
AAGGCAGGUACAAAAUCCGUUUUGUGUCUUUUAUUUCAGAUUAUUUUUCAUUAAACAACACCGAGGGCCGAGGAAUUCGUUGAAUGCUUGGUAUUCCGCAGAUGUUCAAAGCAGUCAUAACUACGUAAGAAAAACAUGGCGUGGGCUGAAAGCGUUGCACUGAACGGAGAUGGGGGACCCAGCAUACAAGUGGGACAACAAGCCACGGACUCUUCAAGAGAUCUUAAGGAAAACCAACUACCGCUGGUGGUCAAACUGAGUACUGAGAACAUGCUAUCUUCCAGCACAAAGUCAUCCAGUGAUGUCCAUAAACCAUUAGUCCUUUAUAAAGAGGUAAAGGGACGAAAGAUAUACUGCAAAAACUGUCACUUCCGUUGAUGUUCUGACAGGUGCUGUCUGCCGGGAAGAUGGUCCAAUUGUUGUGAUUCCAGAAACAUACCAAGGUUGGUUUCGUCUUAUUGAUGAUCUCGACAAACCCCUGACAACGGUUGCCAACGUUCGCUCGCAUCAUGCCUGUCAGAUUCCUUUGCUGCAAGCCAAUAACGGGUUUUUUGAGCAUCCAACAGGGGAAACAGAAAUAACCCCGAUGGUCUGUUCGAAAAAUUGACAAUCAAUCCUGGUGUCUUUAAUGUUGUGAACAUACAUGAAGACUUUGUACGGUACACAGAGAAAAGGAAGACAAUCAAAAGUUUACUACGGUGUUUGAGGUGUUCGGACAACGAGGGAACUGAAUUUCUUCUACCAUUUGAAUCAACGGGAGUUUUCUAUCUUGUUGAAUCAAGGAAAACUACAUCUAAAAAACUUCACGCUGAGAAGUGUGGGUACGUAUAUUCCAUGCAUAGUAUGAUGGAAGCAGGGCUGGCAAAGGAUGUUAUAUUGAGCUUGUUGCACGGGAAACCACCCGCCAAUCCGUGUGGGUUUACAACUGUACUUAAAAUUUGUGACAUAAUUAAGGACCAUACAGCUGUGGCAGCAACUCUAUCUGGAACACGCAAACUGCUGGAACUUCCGAUUGGACCAACACCAAAAUUUGUAAAGGCAUUGAACAUUGAGGAAAUACAGGGCCAUCCGAUGUAUCAGGAAAUAGAACGCCAUCUGGUGGAUAAUGCCGACGCAUAUGCUAAUGAGAUGAAAGUGCGUCAUAAUUAUAAUAUCCAGCCAAUAACAGAUGGUCCAGGUGUACCAAGGCUAUCAAAGUCCAUGGGAGGGACUAGACCACCGAAAUCUAAAACUGCACGACCGUGAAAAACAGUGACCUAUUAGAUUGUUUUUCAUUCGCCCAUAUUCGAAACAUCUCUAACCCUUUAUAAGUUAGCACCAGAGUUAAUAAACCAGCAUGUUACAAGUGACCUUCUUUAGUAGCAAUAUUUUAUGAUAAUGAUGAUUAGUGAUAUUGCCUUGUUAUCAGCAAAAACACCAAUAAAUAGUUUUCGAGAUUCACCGACUUUUCAUGUUUCAAAAUGGGAAUAUUCACAUCUAGUACAAGAUUCUUAUACACCCCUGCGAAUGUUAUUGUCAUUUAAAUUUUAGACCACGUGGUUUUAUUUGACCAUUUCAGUUUCGCAGUAAAAAUCCUGCCUCGUGUUUAUAGUCUAUUUUAUAGAAUCUAGGUACUUGUUGUCAAAUAUGAAUUCUAGACGUAUAUUGAUUUUAAACUUUAAUUUCAUUAAUUGGUGGAUAAAAGUGUGUUCUAGAAAUAAAUGUGACAAUAC